CUCACGUAUCCUGUGAGUCCCGUCAGUAAGAUCGAGUAUCAGACGAAGGUUCAGGCCUAACAGCUCUCAGCGCUAACUUGAAGUGUCUGUUUCAAUCAUUACAAGACGUAUGGAUGUCAGAGUUAAAGGUCAAACUGUUUGGCAGCUCACACAUCACUGAACAAAACUGCGAGCUCUUUCUCUUUUCACGUACUUCACUCGCUCUCUAUUUUCCUCUUUUCCUGACUGACACACACAUACACACACACACUCAUAUUCCACCUUGUCCUCGAUCCAGUGAUGCUGAAAACUAAAUGAGACCUACAGGAAAGGAAGGACGGGGACCCCGAGGACAGAAAACCCAGCGGAGAAGGAGAAGCUGGGCUGCAGGCAGAGCCGAGCGACGACAUGAAAGACACUUAGAAACUCCUCCGAAAAGCCUUUGAUAUGCAAAGAGCCGCUCUUUGAAAUGACUGUCCUGACAGGCUUUCAUUGUGCCAGAAACAAAGACGACGCACUUUUCAGAAAUAACAUUCCUCUGCAUGCGCAACGCACAGUUACAGCAACCGAGCUAUAAGCUCCUGACAGGCCUGCAGCAGCGGAGGAGGAGGAGGAGGAGCUGCACAAAUCCUCAGAUAUACACAAGAGGUAACGCAGAGUUCAGCGUUAGCUCACGGCUGAAGGAGGUGAGACCAAAAAAACUGUGUGAGUGAGGACGAUCUCACUGACGCCGUUAUCCUGGAAGGUGACAGAAGUCUCAUUUAACUGCUGAGCUGAUCUACUUCACACUUUCGUCUGGUUCUGCCAGCGUUUCUGAAUGUUCUUUGGCCUGGAGGAGAAGCAGCAGGUUCUGCAAAGUCACCGCUUGGUUCUGGUGGUGGAACGCAGAGUCCCGGCCAGGCGGAACAGCUCGUCCUCUCAAACCAAUCUGGGGAUGCAACUGCAGGCCUGAAUAUACGGUUCACCCCCCGACCACCACCACCACCUUCCCUCUGAGCUAUUACACACGGUGACAUAUCUGUGAGUGUGAGUGUGAGUGUGAGGGACGACACACACCUCCAUGCAGGAGUCUGUGAAUGACUCGUGGCUUUUUAAAGUGACCCUGAGCCUCUUCUGCCUCACUCGGCCUCGUCUCUGCCAGCCAGGCUGACUGUUGUGCUGUUCUUCACGUUAAAGGAACAUUGUGAGACAUUAAAUGCUGUCAAGAUGUCGCUUCUGCUGUUAAACGUCAGAAAUCGACGGUAGAUCCAAAACUAUAGAAGCCAGCAUCACUUACUGUUGCUACCUUUGUCUGAGGCGACCAGACGUUGUUAGCAAGCAUCUCAGCUGGCUGUGGAGCUACUGGCCUCAUUAGCUGGCUGGAGUUUACAGGUAACCAGCUGCCUCCCAGUGAACACAGCCGGACAUGAAGCUGGGACCUAAACACCAGCCACACCAGUGGAUUUCCAUCCUGUUUGUCAGAUUAAAAGCGGGUGUUUUUUUAAGGAGAGCUGCAGAUGUUAGAACCAAAACUCUUUGUUUUCUUCCACAGGAAGUCGGACCACCUCCACCUGUGAUCGCGGUGACAGAAACACGAUGUUUAAAAUGUUUAAAAAUUAGUUUGAAUCUGAAUCUGUGCUUUUGUAGCAAGUAUACAGCUAACAGUUAUCCUGUUAAUAUUGCUGAUAUCUCUCACUAAUUUCUGAUGGUUUAUAAACAACAUGACUAGUUAAAAAUCUGCAGUAGAAGGAUUCAGUUUCAUCUGCAUAACAGAGCAUAAAAUCUCCUGGAGGGACCAGAGCAGGAUCGUUGGGCCCAAACACACAUGAUCAUCACCUCUUUGCUUUUUACUUUGCUUGUGCUCGACCCUGCAGGCCGGACGCAACACAAACAGUAUGUUGUUCUGAGUAUGUUUAACUUUUCUAACACGACCCCUGUCAUAUUAGCUUUAAUGUGCAAUAAUCCAAUUAAAAGAUUUAUUUGUUCAUCA